rnacentral:lncRNA from 1 species
UGCCUUCACUCUAAACCUUAUGCUGCUUUGUACAUAGUAGGUGAUCUGUGAAUUGUUUCUGGGUAACUAAGGGGCAUGCACUGGAUACCUAGCCAGGGCUAUGGCAAUAAUGUAAGAAGGGCAGAGAGAUGGAGAGUAACUGACUUUAUGAACUUAGAGUUGUCCCAUUCAGAAGAGUUUGAAAUCCAGUUGUUGGAGUGCACUUUGGCUUUGGGGUCUAUCCUUAAUGAAAUUCCAGAAGUCUUCUGAGUAUUUCUGAGAAGAGGAAAGACAGUAAAUCUGGCCUUAGGCACAAAAGUCUAAUGAGUGUUUUCCUGAGGCUGAUUACUUCUCCAGUUGUGUGGAUCUUGUUGUAAUGUACUUUGGAGAUGCUUCUGCUUUCCCUAAAGACCAACAAUAGAGAAAAGUAAGUUCCAUGCUUAUUUUGUGACUGGUUUGCCAUCUAUGUGACCUGAGGUUGGCUGAAGAUAGGAUGGACUUGGGUGGUGGUGGUGGGAGAGGAGAUGUAAAAGAAGAAAGAAGAAAAGACAUUUUCAACCAUUGGAAGGCAACUAGAAUGUGCUCAUCAAUUGAGAAAGUCUUGAAAGUGUUGAGAAGUUAAUCAAGAGGAUUUAUCUGGUUAGAAGGAGCCUAAAAAAGAUGGGCUGGUGAAAGAAUAGUAGGAUCAACUAUAGAUGAAGGUGCAAAACUGGACCAGAAGUGUAUUGUUGAGAAAGAAAUUUCUUCCUAAACAGGUGGGGCACUGUAGCUGGAUCCAAGAAAAGCAGACUUAUCCUACCUAGAUCUGAGGAGAAGAGUGUACCACCAUCCUGGAGGAUUCUCAUCCUCUGAGAAUCAAAGGCAAAACCUCAUUAGUAUUUCCUAACAAUAGGGUGCCCAACUGGAUAGAAUAUGCCAGGUAAUUCAUCAGCCUGGGUACAGGUUAUAUACUAAGGCAACUCUCAGUCCUUUCUGGAGAAAGGAUUUGCUAAGAGGAGGAGGAUAACACAGGAGAAGAGAGAGUCAAUAUUAAGGUCAAAAUCUAGGAAGACAAAUCUCCUUUUCUUGGGAAAGGCAAUGAACAGUGAUGAACAUCAGGGAAUUUUCUCUCUGACCCCUCAUAGGAUGCAGAUGGAGAAGGAGCAAAUCCUGCUUCGCAGAUAAAUUUCCUUAAUUCCGUAUCGAUGAUCAGGAUUCAUGUAGGUUGCUCAGUCUUUAUGGUAAUGGAGAGGUGUGGGAAUGGGAAACCUGAAGUUCCCAAAAGAAAGGA